CGUGACUGUCCAUCAUAUUAUAUCAUUUAUUUCGUACUUGUGCGACAUAUUCAUACUCAUUCCGCCGCCACCACUAGCGCCGCUGUAUGACUUCAUUACGCCAACCACUUGAAACCAGCAGGCCAAGGAUGACAAAGCCGCAUUUGACAAAGAUGGCCGGCUUGUCUGGGGUAUACUUUAAGCAUUUCCUCUCUCGUGGCCUUCGCCCCUGGACACAGCCGCAGCAGAUGGGUAUCGUGACCGUGGGCGCUGCGGCCUGAUGGUUCCCUUGUCGAAUAAGCCAGCCAAUCGCAGCGGAACACGUGCGCCACGCGCGCCGCUGUGUUCCUUGAAGCACCAUCAGAUGACGCACGCAUCCGCGGCAGCAGCGGCGCCGACCGUGCGGGGGAAAGAACACAAAGGAACCUGAAAGCUCGCCUUCGCGCAUCCGCAGCUGCAAGCGGCGCGAGCUCCGGCGUAGAAAGGACUGCCAUUCCCCUCUCCGGACGCUGGCGCCCUCUCCCGCAGCUGCCGCAUGGGAAAGAGUGACGGGAAACGAGGAGGGCUGUCCUUUUGCAGCGCUCCACCAGUGCGAUGAACAGUUG